UACGUAGGGGGCAAGCGUUGUCCGGAUUUAUUGGGCGUAAAGAGCGUGUAGGCGGCCAAGCAGGUCCGUUGUGAAAACUGGAGGCUUAACCUCCAGACGUCGACGGAAACCGCGUGGCUAGAGUCCGGAAGAGGAGAGUGGAAUUCCUGGUGUAGCGGUGAAAUGCGCAGAUAUCAGGAAGAACACCCGUGGCGAAGGCGGUUCUCUGGGACGGUACUGACGCUGAGACGCGAAAGCGUGGGGAGCGAACAGG
rnacentral:rRNA from 1 species